rnacentral:rRNA from 1 species
AGCGAACGCUGGCGGCAGGCUUAACACAUGCAAGUCGAGCGGGCACUUUCGGGUGUCAGCGGCGGACGGGUGAGUAACGCGUGGGAACGUGCCCUCUGGUUCGGAAUAACUCAGGGAAACUUGAGCUAAUACCGGAUACGCCCUUUGGGGGAAAGGCUUUCUGCCGGAGGAUCGGCCCGCGUCUGAUUAGCUAGUUGGUGAGGUAACGGCUCACCAAGGCGGCGAUCAGUAGCUGGUCUGAGAGGAUGAUUAGCCACACUUGGACUGAGACACGGCCCAGACUCCUACGGGAGGCAGCAGUGGGGAAUAUUGGACGAUGGGCGCAAGCCUGAUCCAGCCAUGCCGCGUGAGUGAUGAAGGCCUUAGGGUUGUAAAGCUCUUUUAUCCGGGACGAUAAUGACGAUACCGGAGGAAUAAGCCCCGGCUAACUUCGUG